CCGGGAAGGGCAGGAAGGGUCUGAGCAGUGGUGACAACAAGGCCGGGAGGCGGCAGGUCGAGGAGAGCCCAGCCCGGGCCGCGCGGCCCCGGGGCGGCCGCCUGGAGGGGGAGAGGCCGGCGGACCCGGCCUGGCGCCCGCGCGGCGUCGCUGCGCCCUCCCUGCGCCCUCCCCUCCGCUCCCCUCGGCUCCCCGCCCCGCGCCGCGCCGGAGCCGGGGGAGGAGCAGGGCUUCUUUCCGGCCGCGGUGGGCGCUCGGCCCCGCCGACCGGACGGCAGUGAAUCCCCGGGCGGGGCCUCGCGGGCGUCCCCGAAGAGAAAGACAGAAGAGUUGCUCUUCCCUCCUCCCAGGUUAACUCAAUGGUCCUAAUUAUUGACUCAUUCACUGACUCCCCGAACAGGGCGAUAAAGGCCCCCUUACACCACUUUCUUGAAAGGUUGGGGGGCGGGGAGGGGGGGGGGGGUGGUAAACUCCACGGUCAUUGCCGGAGACCGUUCCCAAGCGCUGCAGCCCCCGAGCAGCUGCUGAAAUGCCUCAGCCUCCCACGUCUCGGCCUGGCCGGCUGCCGCCGCAGGCGCAUUCCUGGCAGGUCCAGGAGUCAAGAAAAAUCCGCCAGAACAAGCCGUGCCUCGCUGCUCUCGGGUUACCAGCAGGUGGAAGGUGGGGCCGCCUCUGAUCGAAAUGGCUUUGACAGACGGCCGGCCGGAGUUCAAGGAUGUUUCCCGCUCGGCAGGCGGGGCUGCGGGGCUUCCCAGGACCCGGGUCCCUCCCGGCGGAGAGGAGCUCUCCUUUCCACAAACCCGGUGCUCCUUCUCCUCUCCGAGCUCUCGCCCAGCCCGCUGCCCUGCACGGCGAAAGAGAGCGUCCUGCCGGUCCCCCUCCUUUCCUCUGCGCUGAAAAUAGUUCCAAGGGAAGCCAGAGGUCACGGGGAUGGCCCUUCCGGCCUAAAGCUGCCCGAGGCCUUGUGAUCGUGUUCGCAUCUUCUCAAAAACGUACUGUCGGCCAGGACACCGGUGGGCUUUGCUUUCCAUUUUUACCUGGAAACUAUGGAAUUGAGUGUGAAUACUGAAUUCCGAGGGCCACUUGCCUCUGGGAACGAGCUGGGGUAUGGUCUUCACGCCGCAUCCGGUCCCGUGCAGGACAAUGCUGUUUAAAGGCUUGAUGAUACUGACGCUGAUUUACAGACUCAAUAGCAGGAAGAAUGUCACUAAACGACGACGACGGUGAUCAGCAGCUUCCCCCUCAGUCUGCUUGACUCAAAGCGCCAGCUCCCCCUGUGUCUUUAGACAGUUUAGGGACUGGGUUCACAGGAGUUCUAAACUGGGCAAGCCAUGGCUGGCGCAAAAGCAAUUCUUACUCCUCUCGAUUUUUUUUAAAAAAAUCAUCCUUGUGGUUUCUACUGUUCACCUUUCUACUUCCCUGAAACGCAUAAGCUCGUGUGCGCACCAAAGGCCUCUGAGCGCCCGCGGCUGCUGUUCACGCCUGCGGUUCCUGCUGGGCCCCUGCGCCUCUCUGUCCGCGGCUGCCUCCUGGGCUCUGCUCGGGAGGGCUGCACACCCCAGCACCCCCGCAAACGCGGCGUGGGAGUGGGGGAGGCUCCCCGGAGGCUUGUUCCACACCGUUUCCCGCGGACCCCGGUAGGAUUAGCCCAGCCCGCAGCGGCAUCCCGGGUCACGGGCGCACGAGGAUCAGCUUGCCUCCCUUCCCUGUUCCAUUUCCUGCUAAGAUUACUGCCAGGACACGUCACGAGCCUCGAGUCUUCGUCACAGUGGGCUCCCGGGGGGAUGCACACUGAGACAGCGAGCCCAGCCGCCGGCAGGCAGGAGAAGCUGAGCGGGGUGGAACCGAGAAGGGCCCCAGAGCCACGAACACCUGCACAGCCUCGCCUGACCCGCGCUCUGCCUCUGGCUCCCGCGUCCCCCUGGCCUCCCUCCCCUCUGCUUCUGGAAGAAGCGUCUCAGCACCAUCUUCUUGUGCCUGGGGGUGUGCCUCUCCGACUCUCCCCACUGCCUACCCAAACCAGCCUCCUCACCUUCUCUGGAAGGCCGGCCGCUGGGAGCACCCUUCCUGGAACAGCGGCGCAUGUGCAGAAGCACAGCUACAGUGAACAUUCCUGGGCAAGUGUGCUUGUGUGACAAUCUGCAAGAGUCCCUCAGGAAGGAUCUGCGUUUAGAGCCGGAAUGCUGAGACACAGCGCUCACGGGGCAGACUUUCAUGGUGAUACAUGGCAACAUCAAUGCUUUUGGGUGGGACUGCCCAGGAGUCCCAAGAUUGGGACCAAGGAGAACUUUUCUGUUUUUUGUAACUUUUUGGACUGUGGCAGACGCAGUGCUGUAUGUUCACUAACCACUUCACUCUCGUUCUGGGCACACAAGAAGACCACGUUCCAGGCCUCCCUCUCGGGCCGGUCAUGUGACCCGUCCUGGCCAUUGGAAUAUGGGCAGCAGCGUGCGUGCCACUUGUAAGCCUGGCCCUGGCUGGCUGCAGGGGAUCUAGCAGAUGAUUCCAAGAUCCCAAAGGACUCCAUGGUCUCAGAAAACAGUGGAGCUGUGAGAGGAAAGAGGCUAGAACCCUAGCUGCUGCUAGAGGAGCAACCCAACCAGCAGGAUUGUGACGUAAAUGAGAAAUAAAUCUUUUACUGUUUGUUUGUCAGUUAAGCUACAGAGAUUUGGGGUUGUUUGAAUAAUAGUCAUUUUAAUGAUCUUAACAAAUACAUGUACUUGCC
ensembl:lncRNA